AUUUGCAACUGGAAUAGAAAAUAUAAGAGAUACUAUACCUUUCCCUAGGGCACCUGGUUCAGCUGAAUUUUGAUGGCAAAAUUUGUAAGAUAUGAUUUAAUUCUUCCUUGCGUCCUCUCGCUCUUCUGACUUUUACCCUCUCUCUCCUUUUGAUAACUAUUUGCUAAAUCUGUUGGCUUUCUCUCCCUGUCUUUGGCUUUGAAAUAAUAGCUUAACCUCUUAGGUAAAAUAUUGUCCCGGGUGAUAUGAUGACUGCCCUUAUCAGGCAUGAUUGGCGGAUUGCUAAAAAAAAGAGAGAGAGGGUAAAAGUCAGAAGAGCGA
rnacentral:misc_RNA from 1 species